UUUUGGAUCCGACUGAGUGGCGAACUGGUGAGUAACACGUGGGUAACCUGCCCAGAAGAAGGGGAUAACACCUGGAAACAGAUGCUAAUACCGUAUAACAACAAGAACCACAUGGUUCUUGUUUGAAAGCUGGCCUUUGUGCUAGUGCUUCUGGAUGGACCCGCGGCGUAUUAGCUAGUUGGUGAGAUAAUAGCUCACCAAGGCAAUGAUGCGUAGCCGACCUGAGAGGGUAAUCGGCCACAUUGGGACUGAGACACGGCCCAGACUCC
rnacentral:rRNA from 1 species